rnacentral:misc_RNA from 1 species
AAAAAUAGUCAAUUCAGAGUCCUGUACGCCUUAGAAGUCCUUUUGAGUCGAGCACAUAAGAGGACGAAUCAAGUUGGAAGUCUCAGCUAGUGCAUAGUACACUGCCCAUGUAGUACUACACAGGAUAUCUAACUUCCGAGACGUCUAAAACUUUACUUCUCGAGGGAGGACAGAACAUUACGAGGUAGAGUUUGGUGCAUAGGUCCUAGUACACAGCCCUUGUACAGGCUCUUUCCCUUGGCUAUGUUGCACGGGUUAUGGCUUCUGGUUGCACGGCCUAUGCAAUUCUCCCAGCAUUCUAACUCUUACUUUUUGACUUCUUCACUCUUUCAAACUUGUUCUAGGCCUUAGGAUUACAUCAAAUCACUGAAAACUGAAGGAUUGAUUUCUGAAAAUAAGAGCAUUCCUAGACUUCCAAAUGCGCCAUAACAAAUAUAUCGCCA